rnacentral:rRNA from 1 species
AUGAAGACCUUCCUCAUCUUUGCCCUCCUCGCCGUUGCGGCGACAAGUGCCAUUGCACAAAUGGAGAAUAGCCACAUCCCUGGUUUGGAGAGACCAUCGCAGCAACAACCAUUACCACCACAACAAACAUUAUGGCACCAACAACAAGAACAACCUAUCCAACAACAACCACAACCAUUUCCACAACAGCAACCAUGUUCACAGCAACAACAACAACCACCAUUAUCGCAGCAACAACAACCACCAUUUUCGCAGCAACAACAACCACCAUAUUCACAGCAACAACAACCACCAUUUUCACAGCAACAACCACCAUUUUCACAGCAACAACAACCAGUUCUAUCGCAACAACCACCAUUUUCAUAGCAACAACCACCAUUUUUGCAGCAACAACAACCAGUUCUACCGCAACAACCAUCAUUUUCGCAGCAACAACUACCACCAUUUUCACAGCAACAACCACCAUUUUCGCAACAACAACAACCAGUACUACCGCAACAACCACCAUUUUCGCAACAACAACAAUCAGUUCUACCGCAACAACAAAUACCAUUUGUUCAUCCAUCUAUCUUGCAGCAACUAAACCCAUGCAAGGUAUUCCUCCAGCAGCAAUGCAGCCCUGUGGCAAUGCCACAAAGUCUUGCUAGGUCGCAAAUGUUGCAGCAGAGCAGUUGCCAUGUGAUGCAACAACAAUGUUGCCAGCAGUUGCCGCAAAUCCCCCAGCAAUCCCGCUAUGAGGCAAUCCGUGCUAUCAUCUACUCCAUCGUCCUGCAAGAACAACAACAGGUUCAGGGUUCCAUCCAAACUCAGCAGCAGCAACCGCAAUAGUUGGGCCAAUGCGUUUCCCAACCCCAACAGCAGUCGCAGCAGCAACUCGGGCAACAACCUCAACAACAACAAUUGGCACAGGGUACCUUUUUGCAUCCACACCAGAUAGCUCAGCUUGAGGUGAUGACUUCCAUUGCGCUCCGUACCCUGCCAACGAUGUGCCGUGUCAAUGUGCCCUUGUAUAGAACCACCACUAGUGUGCCAUUCAGCGUUGGCACCGGAGUUGGUGCCUACUGAUAA